rnacentral:tRNA from 1 species
GGGGGCGUGACUACGGCUUGGGUAGCGUAGAGUUAUAAAGAAGUGGUUCCGAUGUGAGGGUUCGAUUCCCUCUGCCCCCA